UGCUUUUGGAAAUGCAAAGAUGAAAAACAGUCCUUAUGUUCAUGAAGCUUACAAUCUAAUAUGGUCAUAGUCUUUUACAGCAGAAAGUAAUCGGGUUACCCAAUCCACUUCUUAUUUUACAGAUGAGGAAACUAAGACUCAAGAGCCUACCCAGGUUGCCCAGAGUUGUCCAUAUUAUUACUGGAGUCAGAAAUAGAACCCAGGCACGUGAACCCAGGAAAUGAAGACCUUAAGCAUUACAACUUGCAACCUGGAGGGAGAUUCCAUCUGUUGGAAAAGACACCUCCAGAAGAGCUCUCUUCAGCCUCGCUGGAAAGGCCCCUAUCAGGUUGGGCUUGACUGACACACCUUACUUGAAGACAAUUCUGCUCCAAAUGGCUAUUACCUUCCCCACAAGACCAGUGAAACAGCUGAGGCAGUGGAAGUACAAGAACAUGUAAACCUAAUCCACCACCACGAGUGUUUGCUCCACCAAAGACAAGUCCAACCUGGAAGUGAAGGGAGAAAACCGCCAGGGACAUCCAUUAACCACGGGGGAUGAAAGUCGGUGGGCAAGUGCUCUCACCGCGCCCUCAUCCAGGAACGAUGAUGGCUCUGAGGUAUGUCCC